rnacentral:rRNA from 1 species
AGACCCGAAACCCGGUGAUCUAGCCAUGGGCAGGUUGAAGGUUGGGUAACACUAACUGGAGGACCGAACCGACUAAUGUUGAAAAAUUAGCGGAUGACCUGUGGCUGGGGGUGAAAGGCCAAUCAAACCGGGAGAUAGCUGGUUCUCCCCGAAAGCUAUUUAGGUAGCGCCUCGUGAAUUCAUCUCCGGGGGUAGAGCACUGUUUCGGCUAGGGGGCCAUCCCGGCUUACCAACCCGAUGCAAACUGCGAAUACCGGAGAAUGUUAUCACGGGAGACACACGGCGGGUGCUAACGUCCGUCGUGAAGAGGGAAACAACCCAGACCGCCAGCUAAGGUCCCAAAGUCAUGGUUAAGUGGGAAACGAUGUGGGAAGGCCCAGACAGCCAGGAUGUUGGCUUAGAAGCAGCCAUCAUUUAAAGAAAGCGUAAUAGCUCACUGGUCGAGUCGGCCUGCGCGGAAGAUGUAACGGGGCUAAACCAUGCACCGAAGCUGCGGCAGCGACACUAUGUGUUGUUGGGUAGGGGAGCGUUCUGUAAGCCUGUGAAGGUGUGCUGUGAGGC